UUCCCAAACUCCUCUAAAAAAAAAAAUCUUUCGGGGCACGCACGGAGGCACGGAGAGCUCCUCCUUCCCGUUUCGCCUCGCCGCCGAAACCAAAUGCUGCUGACUAGCCCGGCGAAUCGGCGGCGCUCCUCCUAGGGACAGGCAGAGAUGGAGACCCCGCUCUUCUUCCUCCUCGCCGGUGCGGCCUGGACGUCCCGGCCGCCUCCUCUGGGCGCCAAGCACCGCCUCGAUACCCUUCUCGCGCACGCGCGUGUACUGCUCCUACUUCCUCCAGGGGCCCUACCGAUGACUCCACUCAAUCGUGCGCCAGUGAGGGGAAAGGCGAUGCCCGCGCCGGUUACCGCCGCCACUAGCGCUCUAGUGUAGUUCUGCCCGUGAGCUCCUCUUACAUCUGUUUCGAUUUGAUUUUUUGUAGUGGCUGGGUGGCGCUGCGAGAUGUUGAUUCUCUGAGCUUGUACAUGUUUGGGGUGGGGAUCUGCAGGCUCCACAUCUAGGAAAAUAACGACCAGGGUGUGGAUUUGCAGUUUGACACUGUCACGGGACGGGCUCCACUGAUGAGUAACAGAAGGGUGGCAUUUCGGAGCUCUUCAGCGAGGCUCGACGGAGUAAUUGAUUAAUUAUUGGGUAUUAUUGUUCAGCAUUAUGUUCGCGCCACAACUUUAUGAUAUCAUCACAUCAGUUAAUGACUUAAUGUGUGCUAGUUAGUUUGUGUCACAACUCACGACACCGGAGGAGCUGUCUGUUAGAGUAAUAUUAUAUGCGCAUCACUUUGUUUGUUAGCUAAUGAAGAAGCUGUUCUAAUUUGGUGGCUCGUGUCUUGCAGAUAUCAUGUAUUGUCACACGCAGCAGCUCUGCAGCUUGGAGCCUUGGAGGAGCCGAAGAGAUCACAAGAUCAAAAUAAAUCGCUUCUUCGGGAAAUAGAAGUUCUAAAAAUGAAAAGGCAAGGCCAUCUGACCGUCAUCACUACCGCAACAACAAAUCAUCUCAACAUCUGGAGACAUGUCUCUUUCCCAAGCUCAGAGCACUAAGAAUGAACCUUUGUAGUGGGAUUUGCAGAUUCAGGAUGUAUCAUGGGGAGCACUGAGUGCUUUGACCUACAUUAGGAAGCUACUUCCUUUAAUAUAAGGAAACUCAGGGAAGUUCAUGAGACACCGGCUCCUCAAAUGAAAAGGUAGAGCCAGAAGCACAUGAACACAGGCAAGAACACUCCAACGCUGACUCCUGAGUACGACAACAAAAUUGCAGGAGCAAUGACAAAAUUGAAGGAGCAUUCGAAGGGACAAAGUUGCAGGAUUUUCUGUUUUACCUGUAACCACUUUCAGGGCUAACGAGAAAUUGUCCUUUGGCCGGCAACCAUUCUUGAUGGUGGCAUCUCCACUAGUUCCAGGAGGGCAUUGACAAGUGUAACUUCCCGGCGUAUUUGUGCAGACUCCGUAGCAUGGAUGUUCUUCUUUGAGUUGGCACUCGUCAAUGUCUUCCGAUCGGCAAAAUAAUCCAUCAGACAAAAGUGGCAGAAGGAGCAGGAAGCAGAACAGGAUGACGGCAUGCUAGCAGCCUAGUGAUUUCAUCAGGGCGCUAUUGGGAGGAAGCGGCGGGCGCUUGAACCACGGCACGGGCGCGACGAACUUGCCUUCUUCUCCGUCGAUGACGCUGCGGCUGCCUUCCUGCUCGCCUGACACGACACAUGCAACCAAAAUUAACACACGGAGGUAUACAUGAAGAUUUGCAUCGUGGAUCUCGAAAUAGCUACUGCCUCCGUUUCUAAAUUCUUGUCAAAAUAUUAAAUGUAUCUAGAUGUGUUUUAAAAAUAUAUACGUCGAAAUAUUUUGGUAAAUUUGAGACAAGAAUUUAGAAACGGAGUAGGUAACUGAUGGCUGCAUGCCAGUAGGCGGUCUCCCUUCAUGCCGUUAAUCCAACCGAGGUGCCGGCCAUGGGCAAGCUUGCCGGCGGAGGCGCUGGCCACGAGCGCGAUCAAAACCGCAGCCACGAACACCGCUUUGGAUGCCAUCUUCCUCCUCUUCUUCUUCUUCUUUUUAAUCUGGCUAGCUAUGCGCUGCACAUUCAUGGUUCUACCAAGACAUAUUACUCCAUGUAUAUAUACUCCAGAGGCUCGAUCGGGUUGCGACAACAAUGAGAUUUGUUUGGUGCUCAUGA